AUACGGAGGGUGCAAGCGUUAUUCGGAAUCACUGGGCGUAAAGGACGCGUAGGCGGGUUGGCAAGUCAGAUGUGAAAUCCUACAGCUUAACUGUAGAUCUGCAUUUGAAACUGCUAACCUAGAGUAUGGGAGGGGGAGAUGGAAUUAGUGGUGUAGGGGUAAAAUCCGUAGAUAUCACUAGGAAUACCGAAAGCGAAGGCGAUCUCCUGGAACAUAACUGACGCUAAGGCGUGAAAGCGUGGGGAGCAAACAGGAUUAGAAACCCUAGUAGUCC
rnacentral:rRNA from 1 species